rnacentral:rRNA from 1 species
UACAGGGGGGCAAGGCGUUGUUCGGAAUUACUGGGCGUAAAGGGCUCGUAGGCGGCCAACGUAAGUCCGACGUGAAAUCCCAAGGCUUAACUUUGGAACUGCGUCGGAUACUGGAUGGCUUGAAUUCGGGAGAGGGAUGGCAGAAGUUCCAGGGUGUAGCGGUGAAAUGCGUAGAUAUCUGGAGGAAUACCGGAUGGCGAAGGCGGCAUCCUGGACCGACAGUGACGCUGAGGAGCGAAAGCUAGGGGAGCAAACGGG